UCCAGUUUAUCACUGGCAGUUUCUUUAAAGUUCUCAGCAUAAUUCUGUUAGCAACUAAAAAUAGGGGUUGCGCCCGUUAAAGGACUUAACCCAACAUCUCACGACACGAGCUGACGACAGCCAUGCACCACCUGUGCGAAGUCCAACCGAGUUGACUGCUUGAUCUCUCAAGCAUACGACUUCCAUGUCAAGAGCUGGUAAGGUUUUUCGCGGAUUAUCGAAUUAAACCACAUGCUCCACCGCUUGUGCGGGUCCCCGUCAAUUCCUUUGAGUUUUAGUCUUGCGACCGUACUCCCCAGGCGGAUUGCUUAUUGCGUUAGCUGCAACACUGAAAAUUAUUCAUUCCCAACGUUUAGCAAUCAUAGUUUAGGGCGUGGACUAC
rnacentral:misc_RNA from 1 species